GUAAUUUUAGUUUAAGUAAAAACAUUUGCUUUGCAAGCAUAUAAUUUGGGAAUAUCCAAAAAUUACA
rnacentral:tRNA from 1 species